rnacentral:rRNA from 1 species
CUACGGGGUGCACCAGUGAGGAAUAUUGCACAAUGGGGGGAACCCUGAUGCAGCAACGCCGCGUGGAGGAUGACGCAUUUCGGUGUGUAAACUCCUUUUAUAUGUCAAGAAAAUGACGGUAGCAUAUGAAUAAGCACCGGCUAACUCCGUGCCAGCAGCCGCGGUAAUACGGAGGGUGCAAGCGUUACUCGGAAUCACUGGGCGUAAAGGACGCGUAGGCGGGUUGGAAAGUCAGGUGUGAAAUCCUACAGCUUAACUGUAGAACUGCACUUGAAACUUCUAAUCUAGAGUAUGGGAGGGGGAGAUGGAAUGAGUGGUGUAGGGGUACAAUCCGUAGAUAUCACUAGGAAUACCUAAAGCGAAGGCGAUCUCCUGGAACAUUACUGACGCUAAGGCGUGAAAGCGUGGGGAGCAAACAGGAUUAGAUACCCCGGUAGUC